UAGGGAUACCCGCUGAACUUAAGCAUAUCAAU
rnacentral:rRNA from 1 species